rnacentral:lncRNA from 1 species
AAUUGCUGAUCAACUCUUUCAAAUAACUUGUAUUCUGAGGAGACUAUUAGACAGGUGCUCGUGCUGGGACUUCAGAAGAUGGAGCAUUAUAGCUUCAAGUCUUGUUUUGUUAUUUGUUUUAUGACUUCUAUGUUUUGUGAACACAUACAUUGUAAACACUUUCUUUCUAAAUGAAAUGGUUGUUCAUUACUUGCUUACCAUAUACAUAUCUCGUGAUACUUGACAUGACGUCCUCCACCCCCGAACGUUUCCACCGUUCCGGUUUUGGGGUGUGACAGAUUGGUAUCAGAGCAUUGUUUAUAGUGAACUAAGUAUAUCAACCGAUAAAAGAUAUACGUCUAUAAAUACAAUGGGGCUUAAGUGCUCUGGAUAAUGAUAUAUUUUAGAGUAUAACUACAAGUUAUAAAAAUAUACCUACUUGCUCAUACAUGUACAUAAUAGAAUUAGGAUCACGAGGAGAACAGAACUAAAAGUAUUUAAAGGUUGGGCACUGUCGUCAACCCGAACAGUUAUGUAAUCAUAGCUAGGAUCAAUAUAGCCUGAUCAACUAUAUUCAUUCGAGAUGUGACCAACAUGUGUUUGGGAAUGAUGUGGUGUUGCAACAGGGUUAAAACUUACCAGAACACCAGUCAAGAGAACGCCAGAACAAGUACAGUUAGAGUUAGAGUACUAUGGGAGUAUUCUAUGAUACGAUAGCGCGAUAACAAGUUUAGAACAUAACAAGUACAUUACGUUAGGAUACUAUAGGAGUAUUUUAGUCCAGAUACAUAACUUAUGUGAUAACUUAAAAGACCCUUGCGGAUAGGUCUAUAAUCUUACAGGGUAUAUUCAUAAAGUUUUAUAUAUAAUCAAGAUCUUAUAGACAUAGAAUCUGUGACCGACGCUUCGCUAUCCAUUCCUUUUAAGGAAGUAGUGUUGAGGUGGGAUCAAUUGUUCGAAGGUCUAUUUGAUCUUCAAUUAUAUAGAAUACAAACUGGUGUACCUUGUACAAUUAUAGAAGGAUUUCGUAAGGAUCACCCCAUAAAGUUACCUUACAGCUCAUAGGUUCUUUGGACACUUUCAUUCUCGCACGACAAGCCCAUAUAAACGUAACCACUUCGUCAUAGUAGACAACAGAAGAGUUCAGGAGGAACAAGGACAAAUUCAAGGAAAGAUCAGCCGAAGUAACCAAAACAUCUUACGCGUCACACUAAUAAAUAUUAAUUAGGUUAAUUUAUCGAGCGAGUGGAAACACUGCUCACAUUACAUGUGUUAGAAUUAUUUUCUUACAUGCAGCUGGUAACAGUUAUUCAGGAAACAGAUAUUCAUUCGAGGAUAGUUAUUUCAAAUUUAUAGAGUUUAUUUGGUAUAUACUCAUUUAUGAAUUGUUUCUAGAACCCUGUUGAAGUCAGGACCCGAUACAUCCAGAACUAGGAUAACCUUGUCUUUUUAGCUUUCGGCUUGUGUCCAUUGCUAUAGAAUUAUUCCGUCUCAUCUUUGUUUUCUUUUAGCAAAGAUGCCUCCUCGCAGAUCACCCAGACACGCUACUCCGAUAACUCAAAUACCUUCUCCGCAAAUCGAUGCAGCAACUCUGAACACUGCAGUGGCCGCAGUUGUGGCAACAACCAUGGCACAAUAUCACCCCAUCACUACAGGUGGAGGUGAAACGCCUACUAAUUCUACUCAAAGUGAAGUCCAUGUGUGCCAAGGAGAUUUCUACUACAAGGACUUCACCAGAUGUGAAUCGUUGUCCUUUAAAGGGACUGGAGUAGUCAUUGCCCUCCUAGAAUGGUUCGAGAAAACAGAGUCGGUUUUCGAAAUUUGUUUAUGCCCCGAAGGAAGCAAAGUGAAGUUUGUUGCAUGCACCUUCGAUGGCAAGGCCCUAACAUGGUGGAACAGCCAUGUUAAGUCAUUGAACCUAUCAGUGGCAAACUCAAUAGGUUGGGAAAACCUAAAAGAGUUAAUGCUGGGAGAAUAUUGCCCGUUAGGCGAGAUUCAAAAGCUGGAACAAGAGCUGUGGGAUCUCACUAUGGUCGGCUCAGACAUAGUGACCUACACCGACCGAUUCAGCAAACUAGCAGCUCUAUGCCCCGAGAUGAUUACCUCGGAGAGCAAGAAGAUAGAAAGAUACAUUUGGGGUCUGACUUCUCCGACCCAAGGAAAUGUGAUGUCUUCUAACCCAGCCACCUUCGAUAGUGCUAAACGCUUGGCUCAGCGACUCAUUGAUCAUGGAGUCCGCCAUAGCGUAAAAGUCCCUAUUCCCGAGUCAUCUAGGGAAGAGGACUAUAAUCAAGAGUCGGAGAACAAGAGGAAGAAGAAACAAACAACACAAGACACCCCGCAAGAGCAACAAGCAAGUACUAUGUACGCUGCUACGACGCCUACUGUUUCAGCACAUGCUAGUCGUUAUGCUGGAAACCUUCCGAAGUGUGGAAAGUGCAACUUUCACCAUACCGGAGUAUGCCGAGAAAUGCAGUGUCUGAACUGCCACAGAAAAGGACACAUAGCCCGUUACUGCAGGGCACCGGCUCAGCCGAUCUCCCAAGUCCUCGGAGCGGAAGUAAACCAAGCCUGCUAUGGUUGUGGUGAGUCAGGACACAAUCAGAGGGACUGCUCGAUAAUCUGGAAAUCAGGCGCGGAUGGACGUAUUCUGAUGAUCACCGCAGGAGAAUCUACCCCGGAGUUGUCGACGAGUAGUGGUAUGUUUUCAAAAUAGUAUUUAAUUUUAAAAUUAAUUUAUAUUCAUAUAAGAUUAAAAUUUGGGGAUGAAACUUAAAAGUAACUAUAACAACUCACAUGUUGAAAUAGGUCGUAAUAUUCAAGAGAACUAAAAGAUCCCUUAGAGAAGCUAUUAUGACUCACCAUAUACAUCAGGGUUGUGCGCAACUGAGAUGUUGCAGACUUAGAGUGAGUGACUCCGCUUAGGUCCCUUUUUCCUUAAUUUGUUGAGGAUUUGAGGCAGAGAUGCUCAGUCGACUGCCUGGCUCAUCUUAAGUAUUCAUAACUUGUAUAUGACGGGCGAUAGUAGUGGUACCAUGGGGGGAUCAUGGUAUAAAAGUAUCCCUUCAGUAAGUAAAGCACUUUUAUUUGUAUGUAUGCACACAUAGCGGUAUGAUACAUACGAGUGCUAAUUUCAAAAUAGAAAACAGGAAACUCGAGAACAAUUACAAGGAGUACAUUGUUGAACAUACUAGGAGUACAGUACCAAGCAUACCAGGGAUACAUCGUCGUUUAUCAGACGUUUGUUUCAUUUCACCAAAACUUUGUUCGGUAUGGAGUCCAUUAUUUUCUUUCGUCAUGAGUUGGCGUGGUCCUCACCAUACUGAGUUCAUAUGUUUCUAUCGCCUCGAUCGGCAAGUUCUCGAAACUUUCAUCGUUCGUAUCGAAAGUCCGACCUGAAUCAACAAUUUUAUCUUUUGCAUUCUAAACCCCCGAAUUACUUGUGAGAAGAGUACUUUGUCCUCAGAAGCCUUAUCGUCAGACGUCCGCAGACCGUCACGAAAUACCACUCGUCCAAUAGACCAUGUUCGAGCACAGAGGCUAUGGACGAAUACAACCCGCCUAUUAUUAUUUAGUAUAUACGCGAGGGUGGUAUAUGAGUAUGAUUACGCAGAUCUAGUAUGCGUGUUUCCGCCCUAUCUCCUGUCCUCGUUGGGUUGUGGACUUGGGGCAGAGUCGCAUAUCCGACAGUCCUACUAAUCUUAAUCAUAUAUGACUUGUAUACACGAGGUAGUGUAGAUGGACCAAGUAUGAAUCCUAUGAAGAACACCACGGAAAAGUUGCCAGGUCUACGAGUGUGUAUUCUACAAAGCAGGAGAGCUCAACCCCAGUAGUAAUGUUAAGAGAGCUAAUUUCAGGACGAAAUUCAUUCUAAUGGGAGGAUGAUGUGACAACCCAAGAGUUUCCAUUCUGUAAAACCAUCCACAGCAAGCAAAGUCAAAUCCGUUCUGCUAACUUGCAAACUUUUCGGAUAAGUUUGAGCAUUUUAGGAUUUACACUUAAGGAGAUAUCAGGAGAGAGGUUGCACUAGAGUAUUGUGCAACUCUGUUUUUCCAAAACUCAUUGAUAUUAGAAUUCAAUGCCUGAAUAAAAUAUAUUCUACCAAAAACCCCAGGAGUAUAUAUAUAUAUAGNAGGAGAGAGGUUGCACUAGAGAAUUGUGCAAUUAUGUUUUUCCAAAGCUCAUUGAUAUCAGAAUUCAAUGCCUGAAUAAAAUAUUUUCUACAAAAAACCCCAGGAGUAUAUAUAUGGUUCUUAGCCAUUUUGGAUUCAUUAGUUACAUUUCCAAGUAGAGAAAACCCGAUUUCUCUCUCAAGGAUCUUCACCCGAUCACCCCGGAUAGUAAGUACUUCAAUCUAGAGUGUAUUUAAGUGUGUUAUAUGCUUUGAUAACAUGAAAAAUCAGCCAAAACACCAAGGAAAUGGUGUUCACGGCCCAAGAUCUUCUUGGACCGUGAACACUAAAUUUAGGGCCAAAGUGUGCCCAAUGUCCCUCCAAACCUUGGAAAUGAACCUAGAGACUACCCAUGACUUGUUUAAACCUCAAAAACAUGAAGAAUCAAGGCUAGAAGUGAGUUCACGGCCAAGGAUGUUCUUGGGCCGUGAACUCCAUUUUAUGGUGCCAAAAUGCCCUAAAUGCCUUCCAUAAGACAAGAGACUAACCUAGCACUUUACCAUGAUGUGUUUAGGACUCAAAGCAACCAAAAUACGAACACCCAUAGGUGUUUACGGCCGCAAGCACAUGACCAAAUGGUCCAUGGGCCACAAACUCAAGUUAGGGGAGUUUUGAUGCCACAAACACUUCCUAAGGCUUAGGUUUGAAAUUAGGAUGCUUCCUUAUGAUCUUUAGGACCCUCAUAAACAUAAAUGGCCAUGAGUUUAUGGUAGUAAACUCAUUAGGGCCGUGAACUCCUCAAAAACUCCAAAGAAAGUGGUUUUUUUCAACCUAGGAAAGAGUUAUGGUCCCUAAAUCAUUCCCUAGCCUUCAAACAUGCACUUACACAUGAGUAGCCAUGAGUUUACGGCCGUAAACUCUCUUGGGCCAUGAAAUCAUGGUAGUAAACUCAUGUGAGUGCCUUUAUACGUUCCUAUGUUGAAUCACAUGUGAUUCCAACACUUGGUCAAGGUGUUUCCUAGUCCCGGAAGGUGUUUCCUUUCAUAUAGUUAUUGUAAACACUAUAUUCAUGUCAAUAUGUGUCCUUAUAUGUCAUUUAGGACUUAUUGUGUCUCGGGACUUCAUUCGUGGAGCUUCUCAUCCUUACACGCAUACCCGUUUGAAUCACCCACAACAGGUGAGUUCAUAGCCCGUAAUGAAUCAUUUAACUAUUUUAACUGUUUUAAGGGGGGGAAUACAGGUUGAACACAAUGAUAAUUGUGUACAUAUUUGUUGUUAAACAUUCUUCAAAAUGUUACUUAUGUUAUUUAUAAGUUGUCAACAUAUUUCAAACUCAUUUAAAGUUAUGUUACUUUGUAGUUAUACAAAGCUUCGUUAUUAAAGUAAGAGCAUAACUUAGUAGAGAGAUGAGUCAUUUCAGUAACAGUCCAAGUAGAGCAUUAGUAAACUUUUAUAGGUAUAGUUUAGGAGAAUGGUAUUCAUUACUUCUAGUACAAUGAAGCACACAAAGAAUCAAUAUCAGAACAGAACAAAUAGUGAAGAGAAUCAAACAAUACCAGAACAGAACAUAACAAACAAGUUAGGUUGCUAUAGCAUGAUAACACACACACACACAAGAUCUAAUUAUACCAAUGAAUCAUUAACGCAUUAGUGAUAGUUAUAUUGGGUAUACAUGAUCAUAUAACUUUAAUUUGAAUUACACGGCUUGCAUGGAUUUGUUAGGGUCGCGUUUGGUUCCCUCAAUCUCUUUACAUUGAGAGCGUUUAGUAAGGGAUUCUAGCUUUCACAUUAUGACAGUAAAAAAACAAAUAUGUUUUAGGUUAUUAGUACAUCCGCAGGUCAUUAUAAACGACAUUUGUGUACUUACUUCUCCCAUUACUUUCAUAAAGUGUCGUUAAGACUUGAAAGUUGAUCUAUUUUCUAGUCGAGAUAGUUAUAAACUAUGGAUAAUAUACUUUACAUUUGACAAAGGAACAGUCGGGUUUAACUCAGAUCAGAAGAUGCCUUGGUAGAAGGCUAUGAUUAAAGGUUAGGAUCAUAGUGCUAGCUUUAUGAUUCCUUAAUGUAUACACUAUAGAAUACAUAUAUGCCAAUAGAUUCCGACAGCUAAGAAGAUGUGUGCCUUCGCUUCAUUNAUAUAUAUGCUUAGUAUACAUUAGGUCAUCAUAAGGGUACCAAGUAUGGAUCAGGUUAUAGGACAUAGAGUCAAAGCAUAGUUUUUCUAGUACAAAACUUAGUUAUCAAAGUCAGUAUUUUUGAUAGACAAAACGAGAGAUUUCCCAGAAAAGGGCUUAAUCCAUUUAUUAAGCCAAUACAGUUUUAGGGACUUUAAGUGAGUUAAUUCUAUAAUACCUUAGUUUAUACACCAUGUUUAUAUAUAGAACUAAUAUCCGAUAGAUAGUUAAAUGUGUGUUUUCCCUCGACGUCAUAUUCCCGUUGGAUGUGGGAUUAGGGCAGAUUCCCCCAAUUAACUAUCUACCCGAUAUUAAAUUAUAUAUAGCAGUAUAAACAAAGCUAUUAUAAAAGUAACCACCCUAGUCAAUAUUUUACUAUAAGAAAAAUAGGUUUUCUUACAAGAACUCUCCAUUAGAUAUAAAGGAACCAUUACAAAUAACUCCACGAGUAACAAGUGAAUACACCAUGGUUAUAUACGACAACGAUCUAACAACCAAUGGAAUGUGUGCUAUUCGCCUUUCUUGGUUUUCCCCGUUGGGUUGUGAGUUUAGGGCAGAUGCGCACAAUCGAUUGUUUAUUUACUCUAAGUAUAUAUAACUUGUACCCACUUAGUAAGCAUAAAAAGGCUUGUAGUGUCAUUUUACUUAACUUCCAUUAAAGUAGGAAAUAUAUGAUUUUCUAGAGGAACAGGUGAUCAUUUCAAAACAGAACUUACAGCUUACAUCACUUGUGCUUAUACAUUUUCAACCACAUUAUUACAACUUACUCACAUCACUAAAAUCUUAUGAACUCACCAGCUUAAUUGCUGAUCAACUCUUUCAAAUAACUUGUAUUCUCAGGAGACUAUUACACAGGUGCUCGUGCUGGGACUUCAGAAGAUGGAGCAUUAUAGCUUCAAGUCUUGUUUUGUUAUUUGUUUAUGACUUCUAUGUUUUGUGAACACAUACAUUGUAAACACUUUCUUUCUAAAUGAAAUGGUUGUUCAUUACUUGCUUACUAUAUACAUAUCUCGUGAUACUUGACAUGACGUCCUCCACCCCGAACGUUUCCGUCGUUCCGGUUUUGGGGUGUGACAGCAUGCAUCCUUUGUUUUUAACACUUUUGAUAAUGCUCAUUAUAGUAUUGUAAACCCUAGCUCGCCUCUACUGUGCAAAU